GACGAACGCUGGCGGCGUGCUUAACACAUGCAAGUCGAACGGAAAGGCCUGCUUUCCCUUGUGGAUUGCGGGUGCUCGAGUGGCGAACGGGUGAGUAACACGUGAGUGAUCUGCCCCCAACUUGGGUAUAAGCCUGGGAAACUGGGUCUAAUUCCCGAUAGGACUGCAGGGUGGUGCCUGUGGUGGAAAACGAUUUUCUAGUGGUUGGGGAUGAGCUCGCGGCCUAUCAGCUGGUUGGUGGGGUAAUGGCCUACCAAGGCGGCGACGGGUAGCCGGCCUGGGAGGGUGGACGGGCACAUUGGGACUGAGAUACGGCCCAGACUCCUACGGCAGGCAGCAGUGGGGAAUAUUGCACAAUGGGCGGAAGCCUGAUGCAGCGACGCCGCGUGGGGGAUGACGGCCUUCGGGUUGUAAACUCCUUUCGACCGCGAGGAAGCCACCUGGUUGGAAGGGUGGUGACGGUAGUGGUAGAAGAAGCACCGGCUAACUACGUG
rnacentral:rRNA from 1 species